rnacentral:lncRNA from 1 species
AAAAGUCUCCUGCAACGUUGGAAUUUGGGGACUGGAAAGAAUUUGAGAUUUUACCGACUCAAAUUCAGGACGAAGACCAGCAAGAAAACUCAUUACAGCUAUUUGUUCUCGUUGAGCCUGUUGGACUGUCACGUCAGGACUAAAGGGCAAUAAAACAUUAAGCUCCUCAUAAGUACGCUUAAAGUUCAUAAAAUAAGCAGUGAGAGAUUGAU